rnacentral:rRNA from 1 species
CCUACGGGAGGCAGCAGUGGGGAAUAUUGCUCAAUGGGCGCAAGCCUGACGCAGCGACGCCGCGUGAGGGAUGAAGGCCUUCGGAUCGGUAACCUCUGUCAGCCGGGAAGCACGUUCACUGUGCUAAUCAGCAGUGAAUUGACGGUACCUGCAAAGGAAGCAUCGGCUCACUCCCUGCCAGCGGCCGCGGUAAUACGGAGGAUGCGAUCGUUAUCCGGAUUCAUUGGGUUAAAGGGGUGCGCAGGCGGGCCUUUAAGCCGGCGGUGAAAUCGGGGGGCUCAACCCCGCCGAGCCGUCGGAACUGGGGGCCUUGAGUGGGGCGGAGGCAUGCGGAAUGCGCGGUGUAGCGGUGAAAUGCAUAGAUAGCGCGCAGAACCCCGAUUGCGAAGGCAGCGUGCCGGGCCGCCACUGACGCUGAGGCACGAAAGCGCGGGGAUCGAACAGGAUUAGAUACCCGUGUAGUC